UUUGCGCGCUUCCCCGUCGCUAGCAGAAAAAUGUCCAUCAUGUAGGCUGGUAGAUAGUGAAACAAAAUUUGCGUGAUUUUGAGAUUAAGAUAGUGCAUUGUGCAAUGAACGCUGGGAUACCACAGCAUUUCUUUAGUAGGAAACUUCAACCAAAAUUCUACGGUCCAAUGUUUUAGCAUACCCCAGGUGAGUGGGUUUCGAUGUCCAGUGGUGCAAGUGUAGACGGGAACGCCAGUUGGCCUGCUCAAGUUCAGUGUUAAAAAUAUUGAUUGAUUCAAACUCAAAUUUAACAUCGAGAUAUUUUUACCUGGUACGAUAGAUCCCUUUACCGACAGCAGCAAUUGUUCCUAACCAAGCAAAAUUAACCCAAUACUAAAAGGAAAAGGUUCACUUUCAGCCGCAGUCACGAUGGAUGGCCGGACAAUUGCCAAGGGAACGCUUCCACAGUUAGU